GCAAUUAAUUCCACAAGCAUUUUUUAACCCUUUCCCCCUACUGAAUGAUUUUAUAUUCAUAUAAAACACCUUCUGUUAAAACUAGUAACAAGAAAUUGACUUUCUCCUAAAUAUAAACUUAAACCAGCUUUGACCACCUACUGGUACUUAACGCAAAUGAUUAAACUAUAGUAACCCUCCCCGCGAACCCUAUUUCCCUUUAACGUUACCCUAACACCAGAAUAUUUUAGGAAAGAUUAAAAGGGGGGGAAGGAACUCGGCAAAUACUAGCCCCGCCUGUUUACCAAAAACAUCGCCUCCUGCUGACCCAUGGGAGGUCCAGCCUGCCCAGUGACUAAGUUCAACGGCCUCGGUACCCUAACCGCGCGAAGGUAGCAUAAUCACUUGUUCUUUAAAUAAGGACUUGUAUCAACGGCACCACGAGGGCUAGACUGUCUCCCCCCCCCAAUCAGUGAACCUGACCUCUUCGUGAAGAGGCGAAGAUGACCAUAUAAGACGAGAAGACCCCAUGGAGCUUAAAACUAAGUAACACCCUCUUACAUAUAUACCCUAAAAGACAAGAAAACUGUUACCUAAUUUUUGGCUGGGGCAUCCAAGGAGUAAAACACAACCUCCUUGACGAAUCAUCUUAGAAUUACUAUUCCAAGAAACAGUAAACUGAAGUAAUAUGACCCGAUAAUCGAUCAACGAACCAAGUUACCCUGGGGAUAACAGCGCAAUCCAUUUCAAGAGCUCAUAUCGACAAAUGGGUUUACGACCUCGAUGUUGGAUCAGGGUACCCCAGUGGUGCAGCCGCUACUAAAGGUU
rnacentral:rRNA from 1 species